rnacentral:rRNA from 1 species
GAUGAACGCUGGCGGCAUGCCUAAUACAUGCAAGUCGAGCGAAUGGAUUAAGAGCUUGCUCUUAUGAAGUUAGCGGCGGACGGGUGAGUAACACGUGGGUAACCUGCCCAUAAGACUGGGAUAACUCCGGGAAACCGGGGCUAAUACCGGAUAACAUUUUGAACCGCAUGGUUCGAACUUGAAAGGCGGCUUCGGCUGCCACUUAUGGAUGGACCCGCGUCGCAUUAGCUAGUUGGUGAGGUAACGGCUCACCAAGGCAACGAUGCGUAGCCGGCCUGAGAGGGUGGUCGGCCAGACUGGGACUGAGACACGGCCCAGACUCCUACGGGAGGCAGCAGUAGGGAAUCUUCCGCAAUGGAUGAAAGUCUGACGGAGCAACGCCGCGUGAGUGAUGAAGGCUUUCGGGUCGUAAAACUCUGUUGUUAGGGAAGAACAAGUGCUAGUUGAAUAAGCUGGCACCUUGACGGUACCUAACCAGAAAGCCACGGCUAACUACGUGCCAGCCGCCGCAGUAA